GAUCAUGGCUCAGGAUGAACGCUAGCUACAGGCUUAACACAUGCAAGUCGAGGGGAAACGAUAUUGGAAGCUUGCUUCCAAUAGGCGUCGACCGGCGCACGGGUGAGUAACGCGUAUCCAACCUGCCCACCACUUGGGGAUAACCUUGCGAAAGUAAGACUAAUACCCAAUGACGUCUCUAGAAGACAUCUGAAGGAGAUUAAAGAUUUAUCGGUGAUGGAUGGGGAUGCGUCUGAUUAG
rnacentral:rRNA from 1 species